AUCGAUGUUGUCUCCGACGACAUAGCAGCGGCCGUGAAAUGCGGUGGUUGAAGGAGCGGCGGAGGACGGUGAAGCGGUUGCUCGAGGGAUGAUAGUUGCAGCACGUGGCGGCGCGUGGGAGAUGGCGAUGGAUAGAUCAUUGCGGAAAUUGGAGUGGGGAGAGGGGAAUUUGAUGGUUUGAGGAGAAGGCAGAAGGGAAAUGGACGGUGACGAUCGGGGAGUGGAAGUGGCGAUAGGGCUCUGAGACAGAAACAGUGAAGCCGCCAUGGUUGUCUCUGGCCGAGAAAAUGUGAGAUCGAACGGGGACG
rnacentral:misc_RNA from 1 species